rnacentral:rRNA from 1 species
GACGAACGCUGGCGGCGUGCUUAACACAUGCAAGUCGAACGCUGAAGCUCAGCUUGCUGGGUGGAUGAGUGGCGAACGGGUGAGUAACACGUGAGUAACCUGCCCUCUUCUUUGGGAUAACGCCCGGAAACGGGUGCUAAUACUGGAUAUUCACUGAUUCUCGCAUGGGGGUUGGUGGAAAGGUUUUUUCUGGUGGGGGAUGGGCUCGCGGCCUAUCAGCUUGUUGGUGGGGUGAUGGCCUACCAAGGCUUUGACGGGUAGCCGGCCUGAGAGGGUGACCGGUCACAUUGGGACUGAGAUACGGCCCAGACUCCUACGGGAGGCAGCAGUGGGGAAUAUUGCACAAUGGGCGAAAGCCUGAUGCAGCGACGCCGCGUGAGGGAUGGAGGCCUUCGGGUUGUAAACCUCUUUCGCUCAUGGUCAAGCCGCAGCUGUGGGUUGUGGUGAGGGUAGUGGGGAAAGAAGCGCCGGCUAACUACGU